GAAAUGCGAUAAGUAAUGUGAAUUGCAGAAUUCAGUGAAUCAUCGAAUCUUUGAACGCACAUUGCGCCCCCUGGUAUUCCGGGGGGCAUGCCUGUUCGAGCGUCAUUUCACCACUUAAGCCUCGCUUGGUAUUGGGCGACGCGGUCCGCCGCGCGCCUCAAAUCGACCGGCUGGGUCUUUCGUCCCCUCAGCGUUGUGGAAACUAUUCGCUAAAGGGUGCCGCGGGAGGCCACGCCGUAAAACAACCCCAUUUCUAAGGUUGACCUCGGAUCAGGUAGGGAUACCCGCUGAACUUAAGC
rnacentral:misc_RNA from 1 species